rnacentral:rRNA from 1 species
UACGUAGGGCGCGAGCGUUGUCCGGAAUUAUUGGGCGUAAAGAGCUCGUAGGCGGCCUGUUGCGUCCGCUGUGAAAUCCCGAGGCUCAACCUCGGAACUGCCUUUGAUACUGGCUGUCUUGAGUCCGGGAGAGGUGAGUGGAACUCCUAGUGUAGAGGUGAAAUUCGUAGAUAUUAGGAAGAACACCAGUGGCGAAGGCGGCUCACUGGCCCGGAACUGACGCUGAUGUACGAAAGCGUGGGGAGCAAACAGG